rnacentral:rRNA from 1 species
GCGAGAAGUCCAUUGAACCUUAUCAUUUAGAGGAAGGAGAAGUCGUAACAAGGUUUCCGUAGGUGAACCUGCGGAAGGAUCAUUGUCGAGACCGGAACAUAUCGAGCGAUUCGGAGAACCCGUGAACGAGCGGCGGCACCUGCCGUCGUGUAACAGCCGUCCCGGUCGUCGACCUCGUCUCGGGCGGGGGACACGAUGCGGGGUGGAUGAAACUCAAACCGGCGCAGCUACGCGCCAAGGGAAUAUAAAGAGACGAGCCCCGCAUAGGGUUCGGUGGCGUGGAGUGCUGUUGCACACCACACGGAUCGAAACGACUCUCGGCAAUGGAUAUCUCGGCUCUCGCAUCGAUGAAGAGCGCAGCGAAAUGCGAUACGUGGUGCGAAUUGCAGAAUCCCGCGAACCAUCGAGAAUUUGAACGCAAGUUGCGCCCGAGGCCAGCUGGCCAAGGGCACGUCCGCCUGGGCGUCAAGCGUUGCGUCGCUCCGUGCCAACUCCAUCCCCCACCCGAUGGGUGGUGCAUGCGGGGGGGCUCGGAUGUGCAGAGUGGCUCGUCGUGCCCGUCGGCGCGGCGGGCUGAAGAGCGGGUGAUCGUCUCAUUGGCCACGAACAGCAAGGGGUGGAUGAAAGUUGUGCCUGUGCUGUAUCGUGUCGGCCUGAGAAAGAUUAUACCUCACGGAUGAUCCCGUCCCAAGCGUCGUCGAUCCACCGAUGGCGGCUUGGAAUGCGACCCCAGGAUGGGCGAGGCCACCCGCUGAGUUUAAGCAUAUCAAUAAGC